rnacentral:tRNA from 1 species
GAGGAUGUAGCUUAGUGGUAGAGCAAGCGCCUAGCAAGUGCGAGGCCCUGGGUUCAACCUCUAGCACCACA